GAUGAACGCUGGCGGCGUGCCUAAUACAUGCAAGUCGAGCGAACAGACGAGGAGCUUGCUCCUCUGACGUUAGCGGCGGACGGGUGAGUAACACGUGGAUAACCUACCUAUAAGACUGGGAUAACUUCGGGAAACCGGAGCUAAUACCGGAUACUAUAUUGAACCGCAUGGUUCAAUAGUGAAAGACGGUUUUGCUGUCACUUAUAGAUGGAUCCGCGCCGCAUUAGCUAGUUGGUAAGGUAACGGCUUACCAAGGCAACGAUGCGUAGCCGACCUGAGAGGGUGAUCGGCCACACUGGAACUGAGACACGGUCCAGACUCCUACGGGAGGCAGCAGUAGGGAAUGGUCCGCAACGGGCGAAAGCCUGACGGAGCAACGCCGCGUGAGUGAUGAAGGUCUUCGGAUCGUAAAACCCUGUUAUUAGGGAAGAACAAAUGUGUAAGUAACUAUGCACGUCUUGACGGUACCUAAUCAGAAAGCCACGGCUAACUACGUG
rnacentral:rRNA from 1 species